GGAAGGGGGACAUUUAUGAAAAUUACCAUGCCUUAUAGAAAAUAGAAGUGAUUGUAAUUUAAAAAAACGUAUGUAUACAAAACUCAUUUUCCCUCUUUCUUCUUUUUCUGUCCUUUUCCCUUUCCUCCUUUCCUCCCUCCCUUUCUUCUUUUGCCUUCUUCCUUUUUAAAUAUUUUUCGAACAUGUUAAAAUCUAAUAUAGCCUUUGAAUUCAUUUUUCUUCUUUUCACCAGACAUUGGUGUGCAAGUGGCAAAAAGAGUCCUGUCCCAGCACUGCAAGGGGAAGAUAAAGGCUCGUCAUCUGUGCGUGCGUCCAUCUGAGUGGAACGUGUGUCCCGGGGGCUGCUGCCACCGCGCCGGUCCCUCCUGUAAUCCGAGCCCGUGUCAGAGGACGCGGCGCCUGCAAGGAAGAAGGGUUGCCGCAGGUGUGGCCAGAUCCUCUAGGCAAGAGGUGUGGAUUCAGGUCCUACUAGUCUUACUCCUGAUGAAGCUGGGCAAAUCAGUUGGCUCUGGAGUAAUUAGUAGCCCCUUCCUCACUGACCAUUGCAAGCUUUAUUUCCAAUAUAUGGGUCCCAUCCCAUUGUAACACUAAUUGAGAACUUCCCGUCUGGAGGAAAGAAGAGAAUGAAUGACAUGCAACAUUGGACCCUAAACAGAACCAAUGACAAACCUGUGAGCUCACAAGCACACUUCUGGAGAACCUGGCUACCAGAGAAGUGUUACUUCCAAGCUGUAAAAUCACUCAGCAGUCCCUGCAACUGAUGCAACCUUUACUUUAAGAGAAUAGGAGGACAUCAUGUUCAUAAAGAAACCUUGGAUCUCGAACGUACCUAAAAAGCAGCUUAAAGUCCUUGGAGCAAACAGUACAGC
rnacentral:lncRNA from 1 species